GGGGACUUCCGGCUUGGAUCCGCCCAUGGCGCUUUACGUAACCGCCGCGGGGGACCCUGGGCUGCGGGAGGCGAGGGGAGCCUGGGGGGCUCGCGCUUUUCUUUGCCGACCUAGGCUUGCUUAAUGGCUGCCUGGGUUCUUCGUAGGAUCUUGAUUUGCGGGCCCUUGUUGCCGCUUUUGUGCUAGAGGUUUAUUCCCAUACCAAAUUCUUACCUAUUUAAUCACUCAAGAGAUUGAGGAAAGUGGACGAGGAAGUUCUGCCUUAGGUGGGGAACAACAGUCUUAGGUAACAUUAGUAAGAGUGCACUGUAGGGGACCUUAAUUAAUUUGCGCAUCCUCAGCUGUCUGCUCUCAGUCCAACAGGGAUUUGGAAAUGGGGAUGCUAAAUGGACUGCCCUAUAGGAUCAUUAUGUGGAAAUUGACUAAAGGAAAUUAUUCUGCCUCAACUGAAUUUUAUUCCUAGCUUCCUACUUGCUUUCUCGCAUACCCCAUCUCCACUACAUAGGCUAUGGUGAAUACAUACAAAUCUACUCAAUUAGCGCCUCUUCUGAGACUCAUUUUAUUUUUGUAUUAAUAAGGCACAUUUGACUGUAGGGGUAAACCUCUUGAGGUCAAGGAUUCUGUUACUUGCCAUAUUUGUGAGUUAACAUUAACUGAAGCAACUUCUUUUUGUGGAAGGAUUUGUAAAAAUACUAGCUAAAAUUCAAGAGCAUGGUAUUUGAGGGAUAUAAGCAGGAAAGGUAAGCAAGGUUCCUGUUCCCCAAAAUGUCACGGUUUAAUAAGGAGAUAGGGUGCUAUACUACAUAAUUAUUUGGGCAAGAUUUACAACUAUGGGGAUUUAUAAUACGGGGCAGAAAGGAUGAAGAGAAAUACUGUGGGUGUAGUGAAUAAGAAGUAGUUUUCUAUUUUAAGAAUUUGUUAUUUUGCACAGCAACUAGCCGUAAUGUGAGAUGGAAUAUAUGCUCUACAGGAGGCAUCAACGGCUCAACUGGAGUAGAGAGGUUAGGAAAUUCACUUUGAACUACCAGAGCCAGCGGCAGAUCUUCUGGAAGAGGUAGCUUUGCUGGGCUUUCUAGAAUAUGAUUUCAUUAGUUAGUCAAAGGGAGAUUGAGAAAAUGUCAAGUGCAAAAAGACUUUUUUCAAAGGCUGAAAAAAAGGAAAUGCAUUACAAGUUUCACUUUAAGUUUAUAGCCAGAAAUCUCAAGAACUUAGCAAUACUAUCGCAUUUCCUUAGUCAAUUCACUCUCCCGUGGCCCAAGAUGACUAUGACACACCUCUUCUGUCCCUAAACCUCCAAUAUUUCCUUCUUUGUUCCUCACUCUCAGUUAACUUCACUGAGAAAGUGGAAGCAAUUAGAGAAAAAUUUAAUUUCUCACCACUAAAUCUACUAAUUAACUCCUAUUCCUAUUCUUUCUGCCUUUCCUAUAGUUAAGGUGAAUGAAUGAACCUUCCCUGCUAUCUUAAACCAACCUCUUCACUUGUGCACUGGAUCCCAUUUCUUUUGUCUAGUACUUUGCAGUUGCCCCUUUACAUACUUGCAGCAGUUUUUCUGUUGAACCACUUCCAUCAGCACACAAACUUGAUAUUCUCAGUUCUUUAAAAAGCAUUCCCUUGGACCUAAUUUCUUUGAUGCUCCCCUUUAUAGCAAAAAAUUUCAACCUCCUUAUUGCCUUUUCUCUUCUGAACCCACCCCAAGCAAGCUUUCAUUCCCACCACUUCACUGAAACCAUUCUUGUCAGUCAUCAAUGACCUUCACAUGGCCAAAUUCCAGUGGGCAGUUUGCAGUCCUCUUUAGUUGAUCUCUUGAUCAUUCCCUUCUUGAAACACUGUUUUAUGUGCCUUUUAAGGCACCACACACUCAUGGCUUUCCUUCUUCCACACUGGCGACUCUUCAGUUUCAUGAAUCUCUUCCACUGGCUGUCCACUUGUUGAUGACACUUACCCUGUUUCCCUUUGUAACACAAGCCAUGCAUGACUCAUGGCAGAAACUCCAUUAUUGAAUGGGUGAAUCUGAAUGUUUAUUAAUAUGGUGUCUUGCCAAUGGGUUUCAGCCCUGGACAAGUUCACUAUGGAUUCAAUGAGAUCGAAAAAAUGACAGUGGAACGUUCUUGGGGUGAAAGGGUUUAUACCCAACUUUAUUCCCACAGUGGCAGGUCAAUCACUAGAAUCCUGUCCACUCAGGGCAAGCUGGUCUCUGCCUCUGGGCCGCUCUGCCCCCCACAGCCCUCAUUGUCUCUGUCCUUGGCACUGCCACCACUCCAGUCUCUGCUCUCCUACAGCCAUGCAGCCAUGCAGCAGCCCAGAGCACGGGGUGGAGCUCUUUAUAUAAAUUCAAUAACAAUGUAUUGCCCACAUAUGUGUAGUGAGCAAGCCGACCAGGGCCAGGUGAGAAUCCUGGCCAUAGGAAUCUUCACUUUCUCCACAUACGGGAUAUAUAAAGUCUAGGAAAGUAGGAUGGGUCAUGUUAUUGAGAGCUUUGGAAGCCAAAGAGCUUUGAACUUUUCUAGGCAGAUGAAAACCACUGAGCACUAGAGUACUGUGAUAUAUGCUCUAAUUUAGGCUCGUUACUCUAAUUUUGGAUUUUAGAAUGGAUUGAGGGAGAAAGGACUGGAAGCAAAGAAAUAAAUUAGGUGGCUACACCAUAUGAUAGUCAAGACUUAAUGGUGACUGUACUCCAGUGCUACUGGUGGAAAAGGAAAAGUUAAUAUGGAGAGACUGUGGAGACAGAGUCUAUAUAGCUUAUGUUCUAUCCAGGUAUGGAUAGAACAGAGUGUGAUGAUGUAAAAUACACAUCCAUAUUACAUAAGAUUAAUAGGUAGACCACCUUCUAGACUCCUAUGCAACUGCCCUAGAGAAUCACCACUCUCACGGGUAGGGAAAGGGUCUGUGCAGCUUAGAGGCAGAGUCAGUAUGUUUCCAGGAUGUCUGGGAGGUCCUGUCCUCAUAUAAUUUUAGUUCACUUAGAAGGUCUUCUGACCCCUGGUAUUAGAGUCAGAGGCACCUCUGGAUCUGUGCAUACUCUGUAUCAACAAUGGCUCUUGUUUGUAGAAUAACUAUAUUGGCCACAGUCCUGAACCUAAAAAGAAAAGCACUGUUGACAUCCUGACUGUGCCAAUCUUUCUUGUAGGCAUAUUGAAUCCUUUGAAACAUUCCCAAACUGUGAGCACAUUUCCUCCUCAAAAUGUGCCUUUGUUUCAGAGAAUUCAUUUACAUCAUUUCUUUCAAAAUAGAAAAAAAAAAAAAGAUCCCAGUGUAGGAACUAAGAUUCUCUAGUGGCUUUAUUCUCCAAGUCUUUUGGGACCUGAAAUUCAAUAUACUUAAUAUCUUGUGUAGCCUUCCCCCUUCUCUAAUUAAAAACUUUCUCUUAUCCUUACUGCCUCUCUUAAUUAUUCAACCAUCUUAUUCCUCAGCCUGGUAAAGUAGUGUUGUUUUGUUUUGUUUUUAGGUCCUGUAUAUAAUUCACGUUUUGGGAGGCUCUCCACUCUGCUGAUAGAAAUUUCCAGAACUACUGGAGCACCCUAUUGUCUUUUUCUAAGUUGAGGCUAAUCUUUUGCCUUUAUGCUCUUUUGAAUGCCUCUUAAUACCAUACUUUGUUACCACAUACCAAAAUUUUAUUUAUGUCAAUAAUGAAGAAAUCAGCAGAAUGACAAAACUGGUUUAGAGAAUAUAUGAAAAAUUGGGACUUACAUAGUCAAUAGGGAAGGAAAUGCCAAGAAGGAUGUUAAGUUAGGUACAAAAGCAGUUAAUGUCCUCUGAGGCAGUAACUAUAAUUUCUGGGGUUAUCUUCCUUAGUAAAUUAGAAAAAAAAUCACUGUAUCUUAUUAGUUUUCUACACAUUAUCCUCCAACACAUUACCCUCUAAAACUUGUCUGUGCUUCACAAUAUAGGCACUUCACGGGGAAGGCAGUACAGUACGGAGAAGACAAGUAGUGACUCUAUAGCAUCUUACUAUGCUGAUGGACUGUGACUACAAUGGGGUGGGGUGGGGGACUCGAUAAUAAGGGUGAAUGCUGAAACCACAAUGUUGCUCAUGGAUAUAAAUAUGGAUAUAUAUGAAGGAUAUAACCUUCAUAAGAUUAUAUCAAUGAUACCUUAAUAAAAAAAAAAUGUGAGUGCUAAUCAAAAUUACAUUCCCCAAGGUAAUCCGGUGACCCUUAGGUGGACUUAUUUGAAAAAGCUCUAGCAUAAUACUAAAAGAUUCUGUAGUCAUCUUUUUGCUUUACUCCUAAAAUGUACAUAAUUUUUCCUACACAAAUCCCCCGUGACUAUAAAUAAUCUCUAAAGAUUAUUUUUGAUCACACACUAAAAAGGUUGAUUUCAUGUUUUUGUAUCAAAAUCAUUAACUGAAUAUCUUGCUUAGAUGGCUGUUUUCUACAUUUCUACUGGAUAUGAUACUCUUUCAUACUGUGCCUUCAGCAUCAAGAUCUUCCUACCCUCCCAUCACAACACCAUAAUUAUCAUCUUUGCCUACAAGAUAAUUUCAGGCCCUAGUCUCAACAGGUAGUAAUAACACUAGCAUAUAACUAGGGUUCAGUAGCCUCUCAGAAGGUGGGACAGGCACUGCUAGUUCUAUUAUCCAAUAUUCAUUCUUCUUACUUUCUGACAGAACCCAGAGUUGGCAUGGUGGUUCCGUAAUGAUCAGGAACUUCUAUUCCUUCUAUUAUGUUGUUCUGCUGUCCUCACACAUGCUUUUCUAUCUCAUGAUCCAAGAUGGCUAGCUUCAUCCACGUUAUCUGCACUCCAACCAGCAGGAAGGAGAAAAGGGAAGGCAAAGGGUAUCUAGCUUCUUUUUUUUUUUUUUUCUGCGUGGGUCAAAGAGAACAGGUGGUCUCUAGCUUCUUUUAAUGACAUUUUUGAGAAGUUGCAUAUUAGCUAGAAAUUAGUUACAUGAUCUCCUAGCUUCAAGGGAGGCUAGGAAAUACUGUACUUACUGUGAAUGUCUGUGUGCCCAGCUAUAAAUUGGGGAUUCUAUUACAUGAGAAGAAGAAAAGCACAACUAGCAGGUUGUACCACUAUAUGCAAAACUAUGUGGAGAAAAUGAUAAAACUCUAUUGAAAUACAUUUUAAAAACCCAAAUAAAGAUAAAAAAACAUGUUCACAUAUAAGAAGACUCAUAACUGUAAAAAUGUCAGUUCUUCAAACUGAUGAUUAGUUUGAAUGAAGUUCCAAAUAAGGAACUGGAUAAAUCAAUUAAAAAAUUUACCUGGAAGACCAAAGGGCCAAACUAGCCAAGACACUCUUGAAAGAAAGGAUGAAAAAAAAAACCAACAGUGGUGAGGGGACUAGCCAUGCUGGACAUCAUUAUUAUACACCCAUAGAAAAAGAGACGUGACAUUAGCAGGAAUAGACAAAUGGAUCAAUGUAACAGAAUAGAGAUCUGACAAACAGAUUUAUAUAUAUAUAUAUAUAUGGAAACUUGAUAACAGAAGCAUCAUUGCAGAUCAGUAGGGAGAAGGUGGGUUGCUCAAUACAUGGAGCUAGGAUAACCAGAUAUUUAUAUAGGAAAAAAACAGAAUCUCUACUUCAUAACAUAUAUAAAAAAUAAAUUCCAGUUGAAUUAAAAACUUAAAAAAUGAUAUACAGGAGAAUGUUUUAUGAAAUCAAGGUAGGAAAGAGUUAUUAAACAAGAUAUUAAAAAUAACUAGAGGAAAAACUGACAAAUAUGAUGGCAUGAAAUGAAAACAUGUUUCAUGCCAAAAUUAGACUUUUGAGCAAAAUACAGAAGCACACAGAUGACAGAACAAUUAACUGCCUCAGGAGAAAGUGAUUUUGAGGUGGAUAUUGACCUGUGUUUGAGUGUUCACCAGGAGUACAUGGGGCAAAACAUUCUAAGCAGAGAGAAGAGCAUAUACAAAAAUACAGAGCCAAAACAAUGUGGUGUAUUCAAGGAACUACCAUGGUGGAAUACACUGCAGAGAGGCUGCAUGAAGACACAGGCUUUCAAAUCAAAUCAAUAAACCCUACCACUUACCAGAUGCCGACACUGACACCUCCUGGAAAUGGAGCAGAAGAGAGAGGAAUGUUCUUGGUGGCUUCCUGUUCUCUAGACGUGACUAAUGUUGAAAGCUGACUGUCUCACAAUGGAUGCAUUUGUAUGGCUCCUUCAGAGGCUUCCUUGCUAGGCCUUUCCAAUGAUAAUGUCAGCAAUCUGAAGUGAGAUGAUGCUUUGUAUUUCUAUGGCCUUCACUCCACCUCUCAUCCUUUUUUUCCAGUGGUCCAUUCUACACAGAACCCUUGUGAGGAGUCCCAUUAUGGUUCCAGGAAGUUCUUUGAGUAGGAUUUAAACUAGCUCCAUACUUGUCCCCAGAAUUCAUGUAUAUUUGACCUUUUGUCAGAAGGCAGUGCAGUUACUUACAAGACAGAGCUGUCUACUUUGUUACUUCAGGCUCUGUUGUCAGCCAACCUUUGCCUUGAAAUUCUUCCAGCAUGAGUCAUACACAGUCUAUUAUCUCCUACCCAGGAACAAAUACCAAAUGCUUCAAAGGUCCCGUGAGGCCCCCUUUCUCGGCUUGAGAAGAGAGAAGUACCUCCACCUCUUUUUGGGAUUGGAUGCAGUUCACAUGGUAGUAGGUCUCUCCAAAGAAAUCUCUUUUAUAAACCUGUCUCCACUCUUGAAAUAGGGUGUGUGUGUGGGUUCAAGAAUCAUGGAACUGGUCCUUGGUAAUUUCCUCUAACUUUGCAUGACUAUCUGGUGUCUCCCUUUGCAAUUUCGUACUACUUAUAUCUGAAACAUCCAAUUUAAAAUCUUGUUAAAUGUACAUCUGAAACUAAUAUAAUAUUGGAUGUCAACUCUACUUCAAUUUAAAAAAAUAAAAAUCUUGUUAAAACAAUCUCUUUUAUCAGUUACAUCCUUUGCAUUCCUUACCUGGAGUCUGUGAUUCAGCCAUGUGUCACAGGCCAGUCUUAGGGUAGUCAUCAAGUUGGUCUAACAUGGUCUGGUCUCCCCUUUAGUGAUUAAAACAAGCCAAGCCAAGACCUAGGGCCCACUACAAUGAUCCCACUGCCUCUGAGAGGGACAGCUCAGGACUUCCUCUCGGCUCCAGACCCAACUCUCCAGGAGAGUGUACACAGGGCACAGGGUUUGGUGGAGUGGCUAUGGCCUUUGGAGUCUGUCAAUUACCAAGCAACCUUAGAUAAACCUUUACUGAACUUCAGUAAAAUUUUGUAAAAUACAGAAUAGUCUUACCUUUUAAUUCAAAAUUCAAUUUUCAGUUAUGCAAUUAAUACAUAUUCUUGUAAAAAUGCAAAACGUCACGAUGAGAUUAAAUUUCCUUUAUCAUGUCCAGUCCCACUCCCCUAACUCCCCUUCAGAUGUAAUAAAAAUUCUCAGAUUAGUAUUUAUUUUCACAGUCCUUUUUCAAACUGGAUCUUUUUUUUUUUUUACCUGUAAAAAUAGGAUAGUAAUAUUUAUUCUGUGAGAUAGAACAGAGUUGAAGAUGCAAGGUGCAUAAUGUUUUCUUCUAUUUCCUCAGUGUGUUAAGAGGAGCUGAGACCUGGAGAACUUAGCUCUACAGUAAAUUCAAGCUGAACAAAAGAAAUCUUACCUAUAUCCAGAGGUGGAAUUAUCUGCCCUCUAUCUGUUAUUAGAAAAUACUAGUUUUUUCUUCAGAAAGUUCAGCAGACAUCAUGCACAGAGCCUACAGCAGGAAUAAGCCCCAGCCUGUUACACUGAGAUAAGCAGCCUCCUCUUGAAUAGGGGUCUGCUGGGGAAGGGGAGCCAGAGCCAAAGGCAGAGGGGACAUUCCGCCUCCUUUAUACUCUUCCAUUGUAGUCAGGCAAGGAUGAUUUUAUGUCUUGUGUCUUCUCGUCUCUGUGGCUUCCAUUUCAAAUUUCAGAAAAGAAGAGAUCGUAUGCCCAGCUUCCCCCCCAAAACAGCUUUCCAGUUGAGUACAACAAAGUCAAAAAACAAAACAACCCUCCCUCCCCCAACAAUCUGGCUCCACCAUCACUCCACAGUGUAAGAUAAAUUUUAGCCGAAAUAAGCAGGUGAAGAGAGGCAACAAAGGGCCAGGUAGUUUAUUUGAGUGCAACUCCCAGGUGAUGUUCCGCGGUCUGGGUAUUACAGGCCAGGGAAGUCACACCCGGUCAGGGAGGUGGGGGCUUAUAAAGGAUUAGGAGGGGGAGGAGUGGGCAAGCUAUCCUAGGGGGCGUGGAGAGGUAUGAUUGGCUAAAGGUGACAUAAUAGACAACUAGAAACCUUUUUUCCUUCCAAGAGGGAGGAGGCUGACAUCCGGGUCUUAGUUUGCACAUCAGAAGGAUGGAAUUCAGGAGGAGCUGUCCCCUUUCCAUAUAAGGCACGGACCUUGGGGUCUGGUUUGUUCUUCCCCAAUGGCAUCUCUCUGUUCUGUUUGCAUGUCCUUGUUUUUACUUCCUCCAGCCUAACACACGGGACAUGGGACACACUCCUCCAGUAGCUUUUCUCUGUUAUCAGGGCACACAUGCCAAGAUUUCCAAAGGCACCAGUGGUUGGUUCCCAGAUACCCCAGAUAAGGAUUUUAUUUUGGUGUAAGAACAAACCCCAUCUACUUUGCCAGCCAUGAUACAACUUUCUUUACAUAUAUUGACUUUCUUUUUUUAUUAAGGUAUUAUUGAUAUACACUCUUGAGAAGGUUUCACAUGAUAAAACAAUGUAGUUACUACAUUCACCCAUGUUACCGUGUCCCCCCCAUGCCCCAUUGCAGUCACUGCCCAACAGUAUAGUAAGAUGCCACAGAGGCAUUAUUUGCCUUCUCUGUGCUACACUGUCUUCUCCAUGAUCUCUCCCCACCAGCCCUCCCUCACCCCUCCCCUUUGGUAACCAUUAGUCCCUUCUUGGGGUCUGUGAGUCUGCUGCUAUUUUGUUCCUUCAGUUUUGCUUCACUGUUAUACUCCACAAAUGAGGGAAAAAUUUGCUACUUGUCUUUCUCUGCCUGGCUUAUUUCACUGAGCAUAAUAUCCUCCAGCUCCAUCCAUGUUGCAAAUGGUAGUACAUAUAUUUACUUUUAAUGAAAGCCAUAUAAAGUUUGUACUAUAAUUAUCCUCAUAUUACAGAUGAAGGGACUGAGGCUCAAAAAGAUUAAGUAAUUCUGUCCUUAAACAUAUCCUGAGGUAGAUAUGUUUAAGAAUAGUACUGGUCAGUGUGAAGUGGCUUCUGCCAGCAGGAAUGAUAUGCAUGGAAAUGUGGCAAGAGUAGAAGAGGUAGAGUAAUAGCAAAUUAAGAAAAAUACAUGUCCCAGCAAGAACUGCCACUCACCCCUACCACUCGGUCGAGGCCAUGCUCUAGGGUGUGUGUGUGUUUAACCAAAUCUCCAUAACAACCAUCUGGUUUCAGUCUUUCUGGUUUCUGACAACAUAGGCUUGCAGUGUCUAAAUAUGGUCACUGGUGAGGAUGAGCUGGGGAGGGGAAGUGGGACUGCUGAGUCAAGGAGAAUUUGUGCAGAAAAGGUGGAUUCCUUGGUAUGCACUGAUCUAUCCCUCCCAGUUCACCCUCAAGAUCGGAAAGGGUCUUAAGGCCCUGAUCUUUCCUUCUUCACAACAAUCAGUUAAGAGCUGAGCACUGCGUACAUUUUGUCUUAAAAAAAACCAAAUUAUGUAAAUUCCUAUCCAGUCAGGGAUCUCCCCUGCAAGAGGGGAUUGGUAGAAAUUUUGGCUUCCCAUUUUCACCCUAUGUGCCACUUUCAGGGCCACUGUGGGUAGAGGUUGGAGGAGCCCAUCUGACGAAGGCAUGGUAGCCCUACAGGGAUAUGUGAGGGAGAAAAACCUGGCACAGGGCUGUAGGAAUAAGGAUAGUCACUCCUGAGAGAAUUAAAUGGGCCCAGGCCUACAUUACAAGAGCCCCUUCCUUAAGUCAGCACAGUGGUUCCCAACCAACUACAGGUGACAUUUGGCAAUGUCUGGACUUUGAUUGUCCUGUCUGAGCAUCUAGUGGAUAGAGAACAGAAGUGUUGUGAAUACCUAAAACUAAAAGCCUCCACAACAAAGAAGUAUCUGGUAAAAAAUGUUAGUCCCAAGGUUGAGACACCCUGAGUUAGAAUAUGCUGGUCCUACCUGAGUCCUCUCCUUGGUCCAUUACAGGAGCACUGGUACUAGGUCAGAUUACUUGAAGGGAAUACAGUGGAUGCCAACUGUUCCCCUGGGCCCUGAGUUCUUUUCAAACUUCCAACCCAAGUACUCAGCUUACUUCUAACAAAAAUAAAUCUAACUCAGAGUCUGAGAUUUGCUGUGAAAUCAGCUUGUACAGAAGAGGGUCUUGGGUAUAGGAAAAGCUGUCUGACAGAGGCCGUACAACUGUGCAGAAGGGAAAUUGCUUGGCCACACUUUUGCCAUUUGUAAAAUGAGUACACUGAACUCAGUGAUUUCUAAUGUCCCUUAGUUCCAAAACUGUACUUCUGGAUAUUUCUUGUACAUAGUUGUACCUGGUUUGGGUCAGUGAAAGAGGAAAUGACUCAGAAAGGCAAUGGAGGAAGUCUGAGGGUGACUCAGACUUUCCUAAUCAUAAAAGGCUCUUCAGAGAUGACCUUAAUGUCAAACCGGGACUCAUGAUCACUGAAUGAUGCCAGGAACUUCCUUUGUAUAUUUCAGUAGGUGGUAUCCAUAAGGGGUGAUUUUAGCAAAAUUUAAGUUGGCCUCUGCUAAAAAAAAAUCCCCCAUUGGUCUGCUGAUGUUUGAAUUUCUACCAUGAGAGUUUUAGCUCUAGUUAAACAGAGUUUUAGCUCUAGUUAAACAUAAAUAUUCUAGCAUAGGUAUCAGUUUGACGUUACUAACUGGGUUUCAGAGUACAAGGUAGGUAGCUGGCACUAGAUCAAGAAUGAUGCUUGUUGAUGGGUAUGCAGUCCUAGCAGUUAAUGUAAUUUGAGAAAAGUUCAUGUAUUGUGUAAAUUCUAUUCAGUUCAAUCUUUUCAAUCUAAAUAUUAUAAUAAAGAUUUAAUAACUAAGAGUUCAUAUUUUAUAUUAAUCUCUAUUAUCUAUGUGUGAUAAAUGUCAGAAUAAGGUUCAAAAAAAGUCCACCUAAAUACACUAAGUGUCACUAAACUUGUUUAUACCAAAGCUCUUCUUACCUGAAGGGGCCACUGUACUAGAAUGUGCUUAUCAGUGUUAAAUGCUUUCUUCCUGUUGUAAGGAGACAUUUUAAUGUCUGACCAUUCUUGGUAGAGCACUUGGUCUUUACCUCUUCUUAGUCAUGUGGCUUGUCUAGAAAGUUCUCCAAGAGAGACCCAGCUUAACCUUCCAAUUUCUUUCAUUAGAGGUUUCAUUUCUUUGCUUAUCCACUACUGUUAUCAUUCAGAGAUUCUUUAAAUGUCAAAGUCUUUUUUAUUUUUUCUGAAUACUUACAGAUUAAUCUGAAGAUGUUAGUGCACAAUUUAUUUCUUCAAAAAAUAAUUACUAACACGUGCCAAGCACUGAUCUUGUUUUUUCACUUCUUUUUCAUUAAGGUAUCACAGAUACACAUUUUUAUGAAGGUUUCACAUGAAAAGCAAUGUGGUUACUACAUUUAUCCAUAUUAUCGAGUUCCCCCCCAUACCCCAUUGCAGUCACUGUCCAUCAGUGUAGUAAGAUGCCACAGAGUCACUACUUGUCUUCUCUUUGCUAUACUGUCUUUCCCAUGAUCCCCCCCCCCCACACCAU